ACACGUCUACCUACCAGUCUACUUGGAUAUUUUACAAUGACCUUCUAUUCCUUGCGGAUCAUAUUAUAGCCCGACAAACAACUUCAAAUUUUCAACGGCCUGCUGUUCGACCUGAGUUCUCAGCUGUUCGAUCUUCGUCACCUGCUGUUCGACCCGAGUUCUCAGCUGUUCGAUCUCCGUCAUCUGCUGUUCAAGGCAAACAAUCUACACUUUCGCCUAUAUGGAAUUCAGACCUUAUUUGCUUGUCCUCAUCUCCUUCAUCUAGUUUGGACUCAGACAUCACUAAUACAAGUGGAACCAACA